rnacentral:lncRNA from 1 species
GAGAUGGCACCCAUGUGAGUGUCGCAGUUUCUACACCGUGAGCUGCUGAGAUGGCACCCAUGUGAGUGUCGCAGUUUCCACACCGUGAGCUGCUGAGAUGGCACCCAUGUGAGUGUCGCAGUUUCCACACCGUGAGCUGCUGAGAUGGCACCCAUGUGAGUGUCGCAGUUUCCACACGUGCCUCAUUGCUGUGUAAGAUGCUCAAGUGAGAGGAAGCUGGUGAACGGGUCUGUGGGAAGUUGCAGUACUGUCUUUGCAACUCUUCUGGACAUCUUUUU